AGUAAAGGGAGGNUGACCUGCCCUUUAGUGGGGAACAACCAGGGGAAACUCUGUUUACUACCGCAUAAGAAAAAAAGGUGAAAGGGGGCUCGCAAGGGCUCUCGCUGAAGGAGGGGUCCGCGUCCGAUUAGCUAGUUGGUAGGGUAAUGGCCUACCAAGGCGACGAUCGGUAGCCGGCCUGAGAGGGUGAUCGGCCACACUGGAACUGAGACACGGUCCAGACUCCUACGGGAGGCAGCAGUGG
rnacentral:rRNA from 1 species